CCUACGGGAGGCAGCAGUGAGGAAUAUUGGUCAAUGGGCGGGAGCCUGAACCAGCCAUGCCGCGUGCGGGAAGAAGGCACAGCGUAUCGUAAACUUCUUUUGUCAGGGAACAAAGGCGGGGACUAGUCCCCGGUUGAGGGUACCUGAAGAAUAAGCAUCGGCUAACUCCGUGCCAGCAGCCGCGGUAAUACGGAGGAUUCGAGCGUUACCCGGAUUCACUGGGUUUAAAGGGUGCGUAGGCGGGAUAGCAAGUCAGAGGUGAAAUCCUAUGGCUCAACCAUAGAACUGCCUUUGAAACUGUUAGUCUAGAGUAUGGGAGCGGUAGGUGGAAUGCUUGGUGUAGGGGUGAAAUGCGUAGAGAUCAAGCAGAAUACUGAUUGCGAAGGCAACCUACUAAAACAUAACUGACGCUGAUGCGCGAAAGCGUGGGUAGCAAACAGGAUUAGAUACCCCGGUAGUC
rnacentral:rRNA from 1 species